GCUGGGCGUGGUGGCUCAUGCCUGUAAUCCCAGGACUUUGGGAGGCUGAGGCAGGUGGAUCACCUGAGGUCAGGAGUUUGAGACCAGCCUGGCCAACAUGGUGAAACCCUGUCUCUA
rnacentral:SRP_RNA from 1 species